rfam:Leminorella grimontii ATCC 33999 = DSM 5078 strain ATCC 33999 GLGR.assembly.20, whole genome shotgun sequence.
CUCUAUGGUGGGCUGGAUGAGGGCGCCGCAAGGUGCGCCGGUAUCCAGUGGGGCCGGUAAGGCUAACCUCGUCCAGUUCACCACCCGC